UGUACGGCCAGUUGCCGGACGCCUCGGUCAACGCCUCGUCGCCGAUGUGGUCGCCAUCGGCCAGGGUGCCGACCACCGUCUCCUCGCCGUACUUGCCGGUGCCGAGGCGCUCGACCUUGCCGUGCGCGAUCAGGAACACCUCGCUGAUCGGCUCGCCCUCGCGCACCAGCAGGUCGCCCGGGGCGAAGUCCCGCUGCACGAACCGGCGGGCCAGCUCCUCCAGCACCGCCUCGUCCCCGAAACCGCGCAGCGCGGGCACCUCGGUCAGCGACGGGGCGAUCACGCUCACCGAGGUGCCGGUCUUGGCGAAGCCCACCCGGCCGCGCCCGGUGGCGUAGCUGAGCCGCCGGUUGACCCGGUACGUCCCCGCGCUGACCUGCACCCAGGGCAGCAUCUUGAGCAGCCAACGGGAGGUGAUCUCCUGCAUCUGCGGCGCCGACUUGGUCGUCGUCGCCAGGUUCCGCGCCGCCGCCGUGCUGAGGCUCAGCUGCGCCCGCACCUG
rnacentral:antisense_RNA from 1 species